UACCUUUAAUCCCAGAUGACCUUGAACUC
rnacentral:piRNA from 1 species